GGGGAUUUGGCUCAGUGGUAGAGCGCUUGCCUAGCAAAUGCAAGGUCCUGGGUUCGAUCCCCAGCUCCA
rnacentral:tRNA from 1 species